rnacentral:rRNA from 1 species
UACGUAGGGUGCGAGCGUUAAUCGGAAUUACUGGGCGUAAAGCGUGCGCAGGCGGUGAUGUAAGACAGUUGUGAAAUCCCCGGGCUUAACCUGGGAAUUGCGUUGGAGACUGCAAGGCUGGAGUCUGGCAGAGGGGGGUAGAAUUCCACGUGUAGCAGUGAAAUGCGUAGAUAUCAGGAGGAAUACCGAUGGCGAAGGCAGGUCUCUGGGCUGACACUGACGCUCAUGCACGAAAGCGUGGGGAGCAAACAGG